rnacentral:rRNA from 1 species
GCAGUCGAACGAUGAAGCCCUUCGGGGUGGAUUAGUGGCGAACGGGUGAGUAACACGUGGGCAAUCUGCCCUUCACUCUGGGACAAGCCCUGGAAACGGGGUCUAAUACCGGAUAACACUCUGUCCCGCAUGGGACGGGGUUAAAAGCUCCGGCGGUGAAGGAUGAGCCCGCGGCCUAUCAGCUUGUUGGUGGGGUAAUGGCCUACCAAGGCGACGACGGGUAGCCGGCCUGAGAGGGCGACCGGCCACACUGGGACUGAGACACGGCCCAGACUCCUACGGGAGGCAGCAGUGGGGAAUAUUGCACAAUGGGCGAAAGCCUGAUGCAGCGACGCCGCGUGAGGGAUGACGGCCUUCGGGUUGUAAACCUCUUUCAGCAGGGAAGAAGCGAAAGUGACGGUACCUGCAGAAAAAGCGCCGGCUAACUACGUGCCAGCAGCCGCGGUAAUACGUAGGGCGCAAGCGUUGUCCGGAAUUAUUGGGCGUAAAGAGCUCGUAGGCGGCUUGUCACGUCGGAUGUGAAAGCCCGGGGCUUAACCCCGGGUCUGCAUUCGAUACGGGCUAGCUAGAGUGUGGUAGGGGAGAUCGGAAUUCCUGGUGUAGCGGUGAAAUGCGCAGAUAUCAGGAGGAACACCGGUGGCGAAGGCGGAUCUCUGGGCCAUUACUGACGCUGAGGAGCGAAAGCGUGGGGAGCGAACAGGAUUAGAUACCCUGGUAGUCCACGCCGUAAACGUUGGGAACUAGGUGUUGGCGACAUUCCACGUCGUCGGUGCCGCAGCUAACGCAUUAAGUUCCCCGCCUGGGGGAGUA